rnacentral:rRNA from 1 species
AACGUACGCUGGCGGCAUGCCUAACACAUGCAAGUCGAACGAGACCUUCGGGUCUAUUGGCGCACGGGUGCGUAACGCGUGGGAACCUGCCCUUAGGUUCGGAAUAACUCCCCGAAAGGGGUGCUAAUACCGGAUAAUGUCUUCGGACCAAAGAUUUAUCGCCUUUGGAUGGGCCCGCGUUGGAUUAGCUAGUUGGUAGGGUAAAAGCCUACCAAGGCGACGAUCCAUAGCUGGUCUGAGAGGAUGAUCAGCCACACUGGGACUGAGACACGGCCCAGACUCCUACGGGAGGCAGCAGUGGGGAAUAUUGGACAAUGGGCGAAAGCCUGAUCCAGCAAUGCCGCGUGAGUGAUGAAGGCCUUAGGGUUGUAAAGCUCUUUUACCCGGGAUGAUAAUGACAGUACCGGGAGAAUAAGCUCCGGCUAACUCCGUG